GGGAUGUUAACUUAAGUUUUUAAAGUGCCAGAUUUUUAAUCUGGAAAUGGGGUUUCACAUUCUG
rnacentral:tRNA from 1 species